AUUGAACGCUGGCGGCAUGCCUUACACAUGCAAGUCGAACGGCAGCACGGGAGCAAUCCUGGUUGCGAGUGGCGAACGGGUGAGUAAUAUAUCGGAAUGUGCCCAGUCGUGGGAGAUAACGCAGCGAAAGCUGUGCUAAUACCGCAUACGCUCUACGGAUGAAAGCGGGGUAUGGCAAGACCGUGCGCGAUUGGAGCGGACGAUAUCAGAUUAGCUAGUUGGAGGGGUAAAGGCCCACCAAGGCGACGAUCUGUAGCUGGUCUGAGAGGACGACCAGCCACACUGGAACUGAGACACGGUCCAGACUCCUACGGGAGGCAGCAGUGGGGAAUUUUGGACAAUGGGCGCAAGCCUGAUCCAGCAAUGCCGCGUGCAGGAUGAAGGCCUUCGGGUUGUAAACUGCUUUUGUACGGAACGAGACGGCCCUUUCUAAUACAGGGGGCUAAUGACGGUACCGUAGGAAUAAGCACCGGCUAACUACGUGCCAGCCGCCGCCGUAA
rnacentral:rRNA from 1 species